rnacentral:rRNA from 1 species
UGGAUGAUGUGGAUAAUUCGAUGCAACGACGAAAACCUUACCUACCCUUGACAUGUCUGGAAUCCCGAAGAGAUUUGGGAGUGCUCGCAAGAGAACCGGAACACAGGUGCUGCAUGGCUGUCGUCAGCUCGUGUCGUGAGAUGUUGGGUUAAGUCCCGCAACGAGCGCAACCCUUGUCCUUAGUUGCCAGCAUUCAGUUGGGCACUCUAAAGGAGGACUGCCCGGUGUCAAACCGGAGGAAGGUGGGGAUGACGUCAAGUCCUCAUGGCCCUUAUGUCCAGGGCUACACACGUGCUACAAUGGCCGGUACAAAGGGGCGCAAGACCGCGAGGUGGAGCAAAUCCCAAAAAACCGGUCUCAGUUCGGAUUGGAGUCUGCAACUCGACUCCAUGAAGUUGGAAUCGCUAGUAAUCGCGUAUCAGCAUGACGCGGUGAAUACGUUCCCGGGCCUU